rnacentral:rRNA from 1 species
GAUGAACGCUGGCGGCGUGCCUAAUACAUGCAAGUCGAGCGAACAGACGAGGAGCUUGCUCCUCUGACGUUAGCGGCGGACGGGUGAGUAACACGUGGAUAACCUACCUAUAAGACUGGGAUAACUUCGGGAAACCGGAGCUAAUACCGGAUAAUAUAUUGAACCGCAUGGUUCAAUAGUGAAAGACGGUUUUGCUGUCACUUAUAGAUGGAUCCGCGCCGCAUUAGCUAGUUGGUAAGGUAACGGCUUACCAAGGCGACGAUGCGUAGCCGACCUGAGAAGGUGAUCGGCCACACUGGAACUGAGACACGGUCCAGACUCCUACGGGAGGCAGCAGUAGGGAAUCUUCCGCAAUGGGCGAAAGCUUGACGGAGCAACGCCGCGGGAGUGAUGAAGGUCUUCGGAUCAUAAAACUCUGUUAUUGGGGAAGAUCAAAGGUGUAAGUAACUAUGCACGUCUUGACGGUACCUAAUCAGAAAGCCACGGCUAACUACGUG